UCGGAUAUGGUGUAAUGGCUAACAUUGCCGCCUCUCAUUCGUGAGGGACCUCAACGCGGCAGCUCGGGGUUCGAUUCCCCGUAUCCGAG